rnacentral:rRNA from 1 species
CGGUAGCAGGAAGUGCUUGCACUUUGCUGACGAGUGGCGGACGGGUGAGUAAUACUUAGGAAUAUGCCUUUGUGUGGGGGAUAACUAUUGGAAACGAUAGCUAAUACCGCAUAACGUCUUCGGACCAAAGGGGGCUUCGGCUCCCGCCCAGAGAGUGGCCUAAGCGAGAUUAGCUAGUUGGUGUGGUAAAGGCGCACCAAGGCGACGAUCUCUAGCUGUUCUGAGAGGAAGAUCAGCCACACUGGAACUGAGACACGGUCCAGACUCCUACGGGAGGCAGCAGUGGGGAAUAUUGCACAAUGGGGGAAACCCUGAUGCAGCCAUGCCGCGUGUGUGAAGAAGGCCUUCGGGUUGUAAAGCACUUUCAGUUGUGAGGAAAGUUUGACGGUUAAUACCCGUUAGAUGUGACGUUAGCAACAGAAGAAGGACCGGCUAACUCCGUGCCAGCAGCCGCGGUAAUACGGAGGGUCCGAGCGUUAAUCGGAAUUACUGGGCGUAAAGCGCACGCAGGCGGUUUGUUAAGCUAGAUGUGAAAGCCCCGGGCUCAACCUGGGAAUAGCAUUUAGAACUGUAUGACUAGAGUCUUGGAGAGGGGGGUGGAAUUCCAGGUGUAGCGGUG